CGUAGAGUUUUGAUUACUCGGACUCAGGAUAAAACGACUGCGGCGCACAUAGACAUGCAAGUCGAAGUAACUAACCUUUAGUUUACUAUUGGUAGCGGUUAGUACGGCGGACUGGUGAGUAACACGUAAGCAACCUGCCUAUCAGAGGGGAACGAACAGUUAGAAAUGACUGCUAAUACCGCAUAUGCCAUGAGUAUCACAUGAUACAAAUGGGAAAGGAGCAAUCCGCUGAUAGAUGGGCUUGCGUCUGAUUAGAUAGUUGUGGGGUAAUGGCCUACCAAGUCAACGAUCAGUAGCCGAACUGAGAGGUUGAACGGCCACAUUGGGACUGAGAUACGGCCCAGACUCCUACGGGAGGCAGCAGUCGGGAAUAUUGCGCAAUGGAGGAAACUCUGACGCAGUGACGCCGCGUGCAGGAAGAAGGUUUUCGGAUUGUAAACUGCUUUAGACAGGGAGAAAAAGGACAGUACCUGUAGAAUAAGCUCCGGCUAACUACGUG
rnacentral:rRNA from 1 species